GGUGGGAUGGCCGAGUGGUUGAAGGCGCGGCUCUCGAAAAGCCGUAUGGCAGAAAUGUCAUCUAGAGUUCGAAUCUCUAUCCCACCGCCA
rnacentral:tRNA from 1 species